rnacentral:rRNA from 1 species
UGAGGAAUAUUGGUCAAUGGGCGAGAGCCUGAACCAGCCAAGUAGCGUGCAGGAAGACGGCCCUAUGGGUUGUAAACUGCUUUUAUGUGGGGAUAAAGUGCGUGACGUGUCAUGCAUUGCAGGUACCACAUGAAUAAGGACCGGCUAAUUCCGUGCCAGCAGCCGCGGUAAUACGGAAGGUCCGGGCGUUAUCCGGAUUUAUUGGGUUUAAAGGGAGCGUAGGCUGUCUAUUAAGCGUGUUGUGAAAUUUACCGGCUCAACCGGUGGCUUACAGCGCGAACUGGUCGACUUGAGUAUGCAGGAAGUAGGCGGAAUUCAUGGUGUAGCGGUGAAAUGCUUAGAUAUCAUGACGAACUCCGAUUGCGCAGGCAGCUUACUGUAGCAUAACUGACGCUGAUGCUCGAAAGUGCGGGUAUCAAACA